GAUGAACGCUGGCGGCGUGCCUAAUACAUGCAAGUCGAGCGAACAGACGAGUAGCUUGCUCCUCUGACGUUAGCGGCGGACGGGUGAGUAACACGUGGAUAACCUACCUAUAAGACUGGGAUAACUUCGGGAAACCGGAUCUAAUACCGGAUAAUAUAUUUAACCGCAUGGUUCAAUAGUUAAAGACGGUUUUGCUGUCACUUAUAGCUGGAUCCGCGCAGCAUUAGCUAGUUGGUAAGGUAACGGCUUACCAAGGCAACGAUGCGUAGGCGACCUGGGAGGGUGAUCGGCCACACUGGAAGUGAGACACGGACCAGACUACUACGGGAGGCAGCAGUAGGGACACUUGCGAAAAGGGCGCAAGACUGACGGAGAAACGGCGCGUGAGUGAUGAAGGUCUUCGGAUCGUAAAACUGUGUUAUUAGGGAAGAACAAAUGUGUAAGUCACUAUGCAGGUCUUGACGGUAACUAAUCAGAAAGCCACGGCUAACUCCGUG
rnacentral:rRNA from 1 species